rnacentral:misc_RNA from 1 species
CCGAGUUUACAACUCCCAAACCCAAUGUGAACAUACCUCCAGUUGCUUCGGCGGGAACGCCCCGGCCUCAGCCCGGAACCAGGCGCCCGCCGGAGGUACCCAAACUCUUGUCUUCAGUAUUUUACUCUGAGUGGCAAACGCAAAAUAAAUCA